AGUGAACGCUGGCGGUAGGCCUAACACAUACAAGUCGAACGGCAGCACAGUAAGAGCUUGCUCUUACGGGUGGCGAGUGGCGGACGGGUGAGGAAUACAUCGGAAUCUACUUUUUCGUGGGGGAUAACGUAGGGAAACUUACGCUAAUACCGCAUACGACCUACGGGUGAAAGCAGGGGAUCUUCGGACCUUGCGCGAUUGAAUGAGCCGAUGUCGGAUUAGCUAGUUGGCGGGGUAAAGGCCCACCAAGGCGACGAUCCGUAGCUGGUCUGAGAGGAUGAUCAGCCACACUUGAACUGAGACACGGGCCAGACUCCUACGGGAGGGAGCAGUGGGGAAUUUUGGACAAUGGGCGCAAGCCUUAUCCAGCCAUACCGCGUGGGUGAAGGAAGCCUUCGGGUUGGAAAACCCUUUUGGUGGGAAAGAAAAGCAGCAGGUUUAUACCCCGCUGUUCUGACGGUACCCAAAGAAUAAGCACCGGCUAACUUCGUG
rnacentral:rRNA from 1 species